rnacentral:rRNA from 1 species
CAGGCGCGAAAACUUUACCAUGCGGGCAACCGUGAUAAGGAAACCCCGAGUGCCAGCACAGGCUGGCUGUCCGCCAGUGUAAAUAACUGGUGAAGAAAGGGCCGGACAAGACCGGUGCCAGCCGCCGCGGUAAUACCGGCGGCUCGAGUGGUGGCCACUUUUAUUGGGCUUAAAGCGUUCGUAGCUGGGUUGUUAAGUCUCUUGGGAAAUCCGGCAGCUUAACUGUCGGGCGUCUAAGAGAUACUGGCAAUCUUGGAACCGGGAGAGGUGAGGGGUACUUCGGGGGUAGGAGUGAAAUCCUGUAAUCCUCGAGGGACCACCUGUGGCGAAGGCGCCUCACCAGAACGGCUUCGACAGUGAGGGACGAAAGCUGGGGGAGCAAACCGGAUUAGAUACCCGGGUAGUCCCAGCUGUAAACGAUGCACGUUAGGUGUAUCGAUGACCACGAGUCAUCGAGGUGCCGAAGGGAAACCGUGAAACGUGCCGCCUGGGAAGUACGGUCGCAAGGCUGAAACUUAAAGGAAUUGGCGGGGGAGCACCACAACAGGUGGAGCCUGCGGUUUAAUCGGACUCAACGCCGGAAAUCUCACCGGAUAAGACAGCUGAAUGAUAGUCGGGAUGAAGACUCUACUUGACUAGCUGAGAGGAGGUGCAUGGCCGUCGUCAGUUCGUACUGUGAAGCAU